CCGAGGCCGGGGAGCUCCGCCAGCGCAUUGUGCGAGCGAGCUGAAUGCAGCCGAGGGGCGAGCGCGCGGGCUCGCACGGAUUAGCCGUGCUUUCCCAUGAGCCACAAAAGAAUGCCCGAAUCUGGGACAUCUGUCAUCAAGGGGCAGGCUGCUCAGGAUGCAAGCCUGAUUAAAACCCCUCAACCAGAAGCCCUGUCUUAUUCACCUGUAAAUACCCAGUGCUCGGUCUCCAGCCUGUUGAGACAUGGUGGAUGACGAGGACACGCUGACGAAAGCAAUGAAAGGACACUGUGCCGGCCGAGGGGAGGGCGAUGGGGCCACCAAGCGCAGUCUCUGCCGUCUCUGGCUGAACCUAGUCUGAGACGCAGCCAACAAGGCCUCGGAGAAGCGCUGAGUUCAGGGAUGGCACAAAGCAGACGCAGGAGCAGCUGGCUGGAAGUGGAGGGCCUGAGGUGGGCAAUGUCUGUUGUAAUCCACGGCAAGUCUUUUUUUAGAAGCAGAUGAGUGCCCCUUUGAAAGAAAUUGGCACCGGAAUUAUGAUACUUAGGUGAGCUCUGUCCUUGACGUAUUCAUCGUAUUCCGUCCUCAUCAGCAAGGUGGAGGUGCAACUUCAGGAAUGGAGUGACCAGCUAUGGAAACAGAAGCAGCUGCAAGUCUUCUCUCUUCCCUGGCCAUGGAAUGCACCUUACAGGAUGCAGGGAAAGCUCCAGAUGGCGUGGAGAACAGCACCUGGGGGGGCCGCAGUCUUGCCUCUGAGAGGAAGACAACUGGCACCCCACAAACACUGGUGGAUGGGUCCCAGGAGGAAUCAAUGGCCCUGCCUGGAGUCGUCCUGUGUCCUGAAUUCUGUGUGCAUGCGCUGUCCUCCUCAUCAGCAUCACUAAAGAAGUCCCUUGCUGAAAGUCAGGGUGCCAUGAUACAGCUCCACUCAUGCUUGAAUGUUUCUGUUUUAUCGUCCAGGACUGGAGAGGUCUGCAAUAAAUGGGGCAUAUGAUAAUUCGGACAUUCCUGGCACCGAGCAAGUUCAGGAAGCAGGCGAGGGGGCGAUAGGGCACCGUGAGCCUCUCCACCCUGUGGCAUCUGCAAGCCUUGCUCCAGUCCUCAGCAGUACCCCGGGUGCCUUGCACCUCUUUAAAGCAUGGGGCUCGUGGGCAAGUCAGCAGAUGCAGAAUUCUAGUGUCUUUAAUUAACUGUUCAGUAGACCCUGAGCCCCAGAACAUUUUCCUUUGCGCACAGACAACAUCUAGGGUAAGAUAAAAUCAUCUUAGUCUACUAGAUUGAUUGGAAGGAGCAACUGCCCAAGUGCCUGUCUAAGUAAACUUUGGCAGAACUCAGGCCGGUCCUCUGAAGACCUGGGGGCUUAUUCUAGGGAUAUCACUGAACUGGUAGAUGGACUGUGGUGGAAUCAUUUUUAUUCUGUAGGAUGAAGGUUGCCUAAUGCUGGCCUGUGGAAAGUGCCAUUCUGCGACUAAGUUAUUGAGGCUUCACAGGGAGUUAGGAGACAGACUAUGGAGAGAACUUCUCCAUUAAAAUAGACGGGUUCGCUUAGUCUGAGAUUAUAUCCUUCCUCUUUAUUGUAGAGUUUUUAAAAAUGCUCCUUCGACCUGAAUGAGCACAUGGGCAAAUUUAGAAUGUAGAACAUUCUACAAGACAACUUCUCUUUCUUCAAAGAGUCGAGGUCAUGAAAACCUUUUUUUUUUUUUUUAAAUGUGCAGGGAGGAUUCCAGAUUGAAGGAUUUACAGCGACAUAACAACCAAGUGUAAUAAAUGGAACUGGAUUAAAUCUUGGAAGGAAAAAGAUCUAUAAAGGACACUUCUAAACAACUGGGGAAAUUCACAUAUAAACUGCCUAUUAGAUUAUUAUAAUUUAUGCUAAUUGUCUUAGGUGAGACAACAGUAUUGUGAUUGUUUUGGAGAAUAUUUUUUUCUUUAGAGAUGCAUGAGAAAAUAUUUAGGGGUGAAGUGACAUGACUUCUGUAACUUUCAAAUUGUUCUUUAGGAAGAAAAGUUAGAUGGAGAUAAAGCGAAAAUGUAAACAAUGUGUGAAUAUAGCUAAGGGGGCUAUUGAUAUUCAUCGUGAUUAUUUUAGCUUCUCAAUAGGAUUAAAAGUUUUCAAAAUAAAAUUCAGGAGGAAAAGAUUCAAUUCCUCUUGGUGAAAUAUUUUAUCGGUACCAUAUCUUUGGGCUGCAGUCUCUUGCAUGAUGUAAAGUACUUUAAAAUGAAAGCAUUUUUGAAAUAGCACAACAAUCCUCUUUCUUUUAUGGAAUUAUAGUCAUAGGUGAUAGUUUCUUUGUAUUAAUAUCCAAAAUAAAAACGUGUGAACCCCACGUUGUUACUGCUGCUGCUUCCUCCUCCUCUUCCUCUUUCUCCUCCUCCUUCUUCUAAACAUGUUUCUGGUCUAGGAAUCUGGAUGUCUAGAGGGUGCUGCUCCAGUGGUUGGCUUGUGCUAUUCAGGG
rnacentral:lncRNA from 1 species